GUAACAUCAAAUCGUACCCCAAACCGACACAGGUGGUCAGGUAGAGAAUACCAAGGCGCUUGAGAGAACUCGGGUGAAGGAACUAGGCAAAAUGGUGCCGUAACUUCGGGAGAAGGCACGCUGACACGUAGGUGAAGUGGUUUACCCAUGGAGCUGAAGUCAGUCGAAGAUACCAGCUGGCUGCAACUGUUUAUUAAAAACACAGCACUGUGCAAACACGAAAGUGGACGUAUACGGUGUGACGCCUGCCCGGUGCCGGAAGGUUAAUUGAUGGGGUCAGCGCAAGCGAAGCUCCUGAUCGAAGCCCCGGUAAACGGCGGCCGUAACUAUAACGGUCCUAAGGUAGCGAAAUUCCUUGUCGGGUAAGUUCCGACCUGCACGAAUGGCGUAAUGAUGGCCAGGCUGUCUCCACCCGGGACUCAGUGAAAUUGAACUCGCUGUGAAGAUGCAGUGUACCCGCGGCAAGACGGAAAGACCCCGUGAACCUUUACUAUAGCUUGACACUGAACACUGGUCCUUGAUGUGCAGGAUAGGUGGGAGGCUUUGAAGUGUGGACGCCAGUCUGCAUGGAGCCAUCCUUGAAAUACCACCCUUUAAUGGCUGGUGUUCUAACGUGGGCCCGUGAACCGGGUUGCGGACAGUGUCUGGUGGGUAGUUUGACUGGGGCGGUCUCCUCCUAAAGAGUAACGGAGGAGCACGAAGGUUGGCUAAUCCUGGUCGGACAUCAGGAGGUUAGUGCAAUGGCAUAAGCCAGCUUGACUGCGAGCGUGACGGCGCGAGCAGGUGCGAAAGCAGGUCAUAGUGAUCCGGUGGUUCUGAAUGGAAGGGCCAUCGCUCAACGGAUAAAAGGUACUCCGGGGAUAACAGGCUGAUACCGCCCAAGAGUUCAUAUCGACGGCGGUGUUUGGCACCUCGAUGUCGGCUCAUCACAUCCUGGGGCUGAAGUAGGUCCCAAGGGUAUGGCUGUUCGCCAUUUAAAGUGGUACGCGAGCUGGGUUUAGAACGUCGUGAGACAGUUCGGUCCCUAUCUGCCGUGGGCGCUGGAAGAUUGAGGGGGGCUGCUCCUAGUACGAGAGGACCGGAGUGGACGCAUCACUGGUGUUCGGGUUGUCAUGCCAAUGGCACUGCCCGGUAGCUACAUGCGGAAGAGAUAAGUGCUGAAAGCAUCUAAGCACGAAACUUGCCCCGAGAUGAAUCUUCCCUGAGCCUUUAAGGCUCCUGAAGGAACGUUGAAGACGACGACGUUGAUAGGCCGGGUGUGUAAGCGCAGCGAUGCGUUGAGCUAACCGGUACUAAUGAACCGUGAGGCUUAACCUU
rnacentral:rRNA from 1 species